AGCCGUGUUGCCAUGUUUCUGUUGCUGGAAGCGGCCCUGCAAAGCGCCCGUCUGAGCUGCAGCGAGCUGGGCUGGCGGAGGCUGAGCGGCUCCGCAGCGGGGCCGGGAGCCAGCAAUGGUGGGGAGGCUGGUUACAUUUUGACUCCAUUCUUGCAACAAGCGCUUCGCAUCCACCCGCGCCAAGUGUUUCGCCCUGGAGACGGGAAGCAGCUGCUGCUUUUUCCUGCAUAGUCUUUUCCUGUCCGUCUCCCUCAUUCUUUGGGAAAGAAUGCUGCAUAGACUCAGUUGGUUCUUGUCAAGAUGUUUGGCUUGCAACAAUCAAUAGCAGGAUAACACCAGAGGAACUUCCAUGGGAACAGGGAUCUAUGUGUGUGAAAGGGCAAGACUAGAGAGCCGUGCACCAUCACCUGCCCCAACACCCAAGGAAUCCACUCAGAAGUUAAUUCAGCCUACGGCCAUAACCUGGUCUUUUGCUUCGGCUCCUUCCCGGACUGCCCUGGCAUCCCCCUCGCAGAGGCUGGCUCAGAU